GACGGGACCCGCACAAGCGGUGGAUGAUGUGGUUUAAUUCGAUGCAACGCGAAAACCUUACCCACCUUUGACAUGUACGGAACCUUUAGAGAUAGAGGGGUGCUCGAAAGAGAGCCGUAACACAGGUGCUGCACGGCUGUCGUCAGCUCGUGUCGUGAGAUGUUGGGUUAAGUCCCGCAACGAGCGCAACCCUUGUCAUUAGUUGCCAUCAUUUAGUUGGGCACUCUAAUGAGACUGCCGGUGACAAACCGGAGGAAGGUGGGGAUGACGUCAAGUCCUCAUGGCCCUUAUGGGUAGGGCUUCACACGUCAUACAAUGGUCGGUACAGAGGGUUGCCAAGCCGCGAGGUGGAGCCAAUCCCUUAAAGCCGAUCGUAGUCCGGAUCGUAGUCUGCAACUCGACUACGUGAAGUCGGAAUCGCUAGUAAUCGCAGAUCAGCAUGCUGCGGUGAAUACGUUCCCGGGUCUU
rnacentral:rRNA from 1 species